CCAAUAGCGUAUAUUAAAGUUGUUGCAGUUAAAAAGCUCGUAGUUGAAUUUCGGGAUCAAUAUAUCGGUCGUGCCAUUGGUACGUACUGGUAUCAUUGGUUUCUCCUUUCUGACGAACCAUGAUGUCAUUAAUUUGGUGUUAUGGGAAGUUAGGACUGUUACUUUGAAAAAAUUAGAGUGUUUAAAGCAGGCUUUAGCUUGAAUACAUUAGCAUGGAAUA
rnacentral:rRNA from 1 species